CCGGGUCUCCCCCACCGCCUCCCCCUGCCCCGCGUCCCUCGCAGGGCGUCGGGCCGGCACUGGGGUCUGUGCGCCGCGCCGAGCCGCAGGGAGGGAGGGCGGGAGGGGAGGAAGGAGGGAGGCGGGGAGGGAGAGAGAGAGAGAGGCUGAGCCAGAUCUUCAUGCCACUGCAGGCAGCAGCAGCAGCAGCAAAACUUCAGAAGGUUUGCAGAAGACAAUAAGAGAACCACCAAGAAGGCUAUUGCAGUGUUGUUUUGUCAGAAUGUACAAAUAGCUGUGAUGAAAAAAGUGAGGAAAGGAAACUAGAUUGAUGGAGGUGAAAAAUCACACCAAGAGUGACUGAAGAAAUCUGUGAACCUAUGCCUUAGGUGAGGAUGUUUUGUCAAAACAGGCAUUUGCCAACAUGAUACUUCUUUCGGGAUAAAUUCAAAUAUGAAUUUACCCAGUACUUGCUUAGGAACAUUUCUAUAAAGCAGACGUUAUUGGCUAUAGAUAGACCCAGAACUGAUAGGAGCAUGAAGAAAUGCAGUUAGUUUCUUAUAUGCUGAAAACCAUGUAUGAGAAUUUCUUGUACACUUUGUAUUCUUCUAGAGGCAGCACAGAUUUCAGUGAAACUUUGUAAUUGCGUAUAUUAAGGCUGAUUUAUUCUGCUCCUUGGGCUUGAUCCUUCUCACCCCCUUCUUUUAAUCUCUGACAAUUUUUUUAUUUAAUCUUUGAAGAAAGUCUACUUAAAACAAUACUAAAUCAUUUUUGUGUGAGAGAGGUCAUUUUGAGAGUCUACGAUCAUAUCAAUAGCUAUAAUUGCAUUUUAAUCAGAAAAAGAUCAAAUAUUGAAUCCUUUUUCUUGCCAGAAUUACUUCAGGCUCUGAUUAGCCUAUUAUUUUCUGUGACCAGCUGUCACUUCCAAACACUUCUGCCUGUGAGUAUGAACAGACUCCACUGAUUUUUAUGGUGGGACUUCUUUGGUUUUUUAUGAGUUUGUAAAGAGACCUGUAGAGAAAUACAUUGCGUACUUGUAUUCAGGACUCUAUUAAGGGAAUUGAUGUCCAAAUCCAUUUUUCUCCAAGUCAAAAAGUCCUUGAACUUGUUCAAGAAAUAUGCCAUAACUAGUUGGCAUCAAAAGUUAGAUGACAAAAU
rnacentral:lncRNA from 1 species